AGUGUCUCUCUGCAUGCUCUGAUCUGCUCACACGCUCACACAUGGCCCUCUGCCUCAGGUUCUGUGUGGCCGUUCUCUCUUAUGGGCUGUGCAGAGCCAAUGCUCAGUCAGAAGAACUCCACAACUUUAUCCCAGAAAGACUUUAUAAAAAGGCUCAGUAUGUGAUGUCCAGACUCGUCCCAGAGACUCGAGCGCACAUGAGUGAUGAGGACGAGUCUGAUCUGCACACCGAUGCUCCUGAUCUCACCGGGGAGAGUGGAAGAG